rnacentral:rRNA from 1 species
GAGUUUGAUCCUGGCUCAGGACGAACGCUGGCGGCGCGCCUAAUGCAUGCAAGUCGAGCGACGCAUUCCUUAGCCCGUAAGGGCGGGUUUGACGGAGCGGCGAACGGGUGCGUAACACGUGACCAAUCUGCCCCGAAGACCGGGAUAGCCCGGGGAAACCCGGAUUAAUACCGGAUGAACUCACCGCAACACCUGUUGUGGUGAGCAAAGGUUCAGGCGCUUCGGGAUGAGGUCGCGGCCCAUCAGCUUGUUGGUGAGGUAACGGCUCACCAAGGCAACUACGGGUAGCUUGGUCUGAGAGGACGAUCAGCCACACUGGAACUGAGAUACGGUCCAGACUCCUACGGGAGGCAGCAGCAGGGAAUAUUGCGCAAUGGGCGAAAGCCUGACGCAGCGACGCCGCGUGGGGGAUGAAGGCCUUAGGGUUGUAAACCCCUUUCACGAGGGAAGAAAAUGACGGUACCUCGAGAAGAAGCCCCGGCCAACUACGUGCCAGCAGCCGCGGUAAUACGUAGGGGGCGAGCGUUGUCCGGAUUUAUUGGGCGUAAAGAGCUCGUAGGCGGUUGCGUAAGUCGGAUGUGAAAACUCAGGGCUCAACCCGGAGAUGCCAUCUGAUACUGCGCUGACUAGAGUCCGGUAGAGGAGCAUGGAAUUCUUGGUGUAGCGGUGAAAUGCGCAGAUAUCAGGAGGAACACCAGCGGCGAAGGCGGUGCUCUGGGCCGGAACUGACGCUGAGGAGCGAAAGCGUGGGUAGCGAACAGGAUUAGAUACCCUGGUAGUC